CGCUGCUCUACACCUGCGUGCGCGUUCGCGGCUGGCAGCCAUUGCUGGCGGGUCCUCGCUCGUAUGUGGGUCUGCGCUCACGUUUUCUGCAUCUACCGCCAUCAGGGACCAGAGGCCAUGCCGGGCUAUUCUGAGGCCAGGUCGACAUCGAAACCGGGUGGAUGGACCCACAGCGUGGAAGGGCUGACCAAACCCUUCUGGAAGAUGUCCUGCCUCGAAAAUACAUCUUGAGAAGAAUAAGGAGGGAAAGACCAUUUUGUUUGCUUGUUUAGUCUAGGAAACCCAAGGUGCGGGAACCAGAAGAGACCUGAGAUGGCACAUGAGUGGUUAUCAGGCUGUUUUGUGGAACUUGUGAAGGGAUGAGGAAACAGACUAAGAAAGCCAUCUUGAAAGACGGAUGAGGUUUGACGCCUACUGUUCGCCUCC